AAAGAGACCCUAUAAGAAACCUGUGUUUGACUUCUGCCUGGGUUCACCUUCCAACUAAACCUAAGCAGAGGCUGCCUACACAUGAUAUCAUGAAGACAUUCUCCACACUUUGUGUUGCACUCAUGCUGCAUUUCACUGCCGUUGAUUUACACGCAAGUGAUUGUGAACAUCUGCUUGACAUAAAAAAACAAUCCAAUAGCACCUAUUCAAAGAAUUUAAUGGAAACUCACGUGCGCUGGAAGUUGACCGGUCAUUAUUAUGGGCAUAACUUCUUUUGUUUGGCUGAGAAAAGUCUAAAGGCUCAUAAUUUGUCUGAAUUUGACUCUUCAUGGAGAUUGACUGACGGUUUGACCCAAUACAUCAAAUUCAGCCAACCAAAAAAAAAUUGCACAGUCAAGCCCAACGAGAGUAUUCGUGUGAAGGAUCUUCUAACCAUCAUUAACAAUUGUACCUUCAAAAUAAUGAUAGAAAAAAAUUGUAUUCCAAACCAAAAAUGGCACGCCAAAAAAGAGCGCAUCCGUAGGUUUGUUUACCUGCCAAAUUAGCAAAAGUUGUCACCAACCAAUUGAUUAGCAGUUACAUUUGGACCCUAAAUGUAACUAUUGUAUUGUGGUAAAUGUAACUAUUAUAUUGGAACUUUAUUUCUACAAUGUGCAAUUAUUCAUUUUGACAAAUUGUAUUUUCUAUUUUGUGAAACAUAUUUAUUCAAUAAAAGUUCCUAAUCAUAAAUCGA